rnacentral:rRNA from 1 species
CAGGCUUAACACAUGCAAGUCGAGGGGCAGCAUGGUCUUAGCUUGCUAAGACUGAUGGCGACCGGCGCACGGGUGAGUAACACGUAUCCAACCUGCCGUCUACUCUUGGACAGCCUUCUGAAAGGAAGAUUAAUACAAGAUGGCAUCAUGAGUCCGCAUGUUCACAUGAUUAAAGGUAUUCCGGUAGACGAUGGGGAUGCGUUCCAUUAGAUAGUAGGCGGGGUAACGGCCCACCUAGUCUUCGAUGGAUAGGGGUUCUGAGAGGAAGGUCCCCCACAUUGGAACUGAGACACGGUCCAAACUCCUACGGGAGGCAGCAGUGAGGAAUAUUGGUCAAUGGGCGAGAGCCUGAACCAGCCAAGUAGCGUGAAGGAUGACUGCCCUAUGGGUUGUAAACUUCUUUUAUAAAGGAAUAAAGUCGGGUAUGUAUACCCGUUUGCAUGUACUUUAUGAAUAAGGAUCGGCUAACCCCGUGCCAGCAGCCGCGGUAAUACGGAGGAUCCGAGCGUUAUCCGGAUUUAUUGGGUUUAAAGGGAGCGUAGAUGGAUGUUUAAGUCAGUUGUGAAAGUUUGCGGCUCAACCGUAAAAUUGCAGUUGAUACUGGAUAUCUUGAGUGCAGUUGAGGCAGGCGGAAUUCGUGGUGUAGCGGUGAAAUGCUUAGAUAUCACGAAGAACUCCGAUUGCGAAGGCAGCCUGCUAAGCUGCAACUGACAUUGAGGCUCGAAAGUGUGGGUAUCAAACAGG